rnacentral:rRNA from 1 species
ACACAUGCAAGUCGAGGGGCAGCACAGGGUAGCAAUACUUGGGUGGCGACCGGCGCACGGGUGAGUAACGCGUAUGCAACUUACCUAUCAGAGGGGGAUAGCCCGGCGAAAGUCGGAUUAAUACCCCAUGAAACAGGGGUCCCGCAUGGGAAUAUUUGUUAAAGAUUCAUCGCUGAUAGAUAGGCAUGCGUUCCAUUAGGCAGUUGGCGGGGUAACGGCCCACCAAACCGACGAUGGAUAGGGGUUCUGAGAGGAAGGUCCCCCACAUUGGUACUGAGACACGGACCAAACUCCUACGGGAGGCAGCAGUGAGGAAUAUUGGUCAAUGGCCGAGAGGCUGAACCAGCCAAGUCGCGUGAAGGAAGAAGGAUCUAUGGUUUGUAAACUUCUUUUAUAGGGGAAUAAAGUGGAGGACGUGUCCUUUUUUGUAUGUACCCUAUGAAUAAGCAUCGGCUAACUCCGUGCCAGCAGCCGCGGUAAUACGGAGGAUGCGAGCGUUAUCCGGAUUUAUUGGGUUUAAAGGGUGCGUAGGCGGCCUUUUAAGUCAGCGGUGAAAGUCUGUGGCUCAACCAUAGAAUUGCCGUUGAAACUGGGGGGCUUGAGUAUGUUUGAGGCAGGCGGAAUGCGUGGUGUAGCGGUGAAAUGCAUAGAUAUCACGCAGAACCCCGAUUGCGAAGGCAGCCUGCCAAGCCAUUACUGACGCUGAUGCACGAAAGCGUGGGGAUCAAACAGGAUUAGAUACCCUGGUAGUCCACGCAGUAAACGAUGAUCACUAGCUGUUUGCGAUACACUGUA